CCCCGCCCCCCCCACUCCACCCUCCCCUACAAAGACUGUGGUGGCCCCAGCUUGGGGUGAGAUCUGGGCAUCAAGAGUUUCAAAGAGCAUGCAGGAACUCUGAUAUGCAGCCGGCAUGGAGACCAACCCGACAUACAGUAGGCGCACAGCACUGCUGAAGUCUGAUGUUCUGCUCUGAGGACCUCUUCCAGCCAGCAUGCCGUGCCUAAGUGAGAAGAAGUGGCCAGAGGAAGCUAUGUACCUCUGAGUGUGGGAGUCCUACUCAUGUACAUUGUAUGUGUCUGUAUGGAGCUUUGUGCCCCUAAGUGUGGCAGUCCUUGGAAGCCAGAAGCUGCAGAUCGUCCUGGAGCUGGUCAUACAGGCAGUUGUGAGCCCCGACGAUUCAGGUCGUCUGGAGGAUCAGCCUACACCCGGUUCUCAGUACCAUGGAGGCGUGGGCCCGGACAAGGAGGGUUGUCGUGAGUUUUGAGAGCAGACUGUUCUACAAAACAAUGAAAAAUCCUGAACAAAGUAUUACUGGGAGCUGGGGAGAUGCCAGUAUCACCGAUUGUUUGCCAUGCAAGCAUAAAGACUUGAGUUG
rnacentral:sRNA from 1 species